AGAGUUUGAUCAUGGCUCAGAUUGAACGCUGGCGGCAGGCUUAACACAUGCAAGUCGAACGGUAACAGAACUAGCUUGCUAGUUGCUGACGAGUGGCGGACGGGUGAGUAACGCGUAGGAAUCUACCGAAUAGUGGGGGACAACAGUUGGAAACGGCUGCUAAUACCGCAUACGCCCUACGGGGGAAAGGAGGGGAUCUUCGGACCUUUCGCUAUUUGAUGAGCCUGCGUGAGAUUAGUUAGUUGGUGGGGUAAUGGCUCACCAAGGCGACGAUCUCUAGCUGGUCUGAGAGGAUGAUCAGCCACACUGGGACUGAGACACGGCCCAGACUCCUACGGGAGNCAGCAGUGGGGAAUAUUGCACAAUGGGGGAAACCCUGAUGCAGCCAUGCCGCGUGUGUGAAGAAGGCCUUCGGGUUGUAAAGCACUUUCAGU
rnacentral:rRNA from 1 species